GCCCACGUCGCUGCCCACCCAACCGACAGCCUCGUCUCCUCCUCCCUCGUCCCCAUCUCAGAUCCCCUCCACCGACGGAGCCCUCGAUCUCAGAUCCCAUCGACUACCACAGCCCACCUCGCGUCGCCCCCGUCUCCGCCACCCCCCCCCCCCCCCCCCCGGCCGCCCCCUACCCGCUCCGCUCCGUUCCGCUUCGGGAUCCAUCCACCCACCCAGGCCGUCGUCGUCCUAGGGUUCCACCGCCCGCACCUCGCCCCCUGCCUCUCCACCCAAACGGCCACGCCCUACCUCUCCUUCCUCGCAGCUACUUCGUCUCCAACGACGGCAGAGGCGGCCUCAACCGGAUCUACGUCCUAGCCCUGGCCAGCCGCAACCGUUCGCCGCCGCGGAUCCCGUGAGCCCCGUCCUCUUCUACUCCGUUUCGCGACUCGGAGCUGCGGCUGGAUGGAGCUAUAGCUGGCGCCUACGGCAACGACCACGACGACGGGGGAGCACAUCAGCACAAUGGCGCCUACGGCAACGACCACGAUGACGGGGGAGCAGCAGCAGCACCCGAGGAAGGCGCCUGGUCCGGGUGGAAGUUCCCGCGCUCGCGCUCCUCCGCCGCCGCCGCCGUGUGCGUGGGCGGAGGGGGAUGUAUCCGGGGCCCUCAAAUCUCUGGCGGCAGAGCUCGUGCUGUUUCGGAGGUCGUUGGUGAAAAAUGGAUGAUGCUGGCAUGGUGUUCCUUCUCGAUGCUAUUUACAGGUUAGUGCCCUCAGAUCUGCAAAUUAAUUUGACCAUUUGUUUUCCAUGCUAACUUCCGGGGCUUGGUCGCCGGCAAGGCCAUCCUUUUCCAGGUUCCCACUGCGAGAGGAGUUAGCUGACAACCAUGAGCACCUAGAUCCGGUUCGUAUGGUCUUGCUGGCGAACAGCAGAGCCAGAGUUGGCACUGAUAUGGCACAAGCUGGAGUGCGCCGUUGCCCGGGUACAUCCCCGACGAGGUCGGGCAGAGUCUAUCCACAGGCCCCUGGGUGGACAAAAAGAUGAAGUCAAGGGAACACCUGAUGAGACUUCGGCUAUUGCAACAACAGAAUGCCCACUUGCAGAGAAGGGAUCCAAAUCAACCGGCUCUUAAUGGUGCUAUGAACUUUGAUGUAUCAGUCAACAUGGCAGCCCUACAGCAGUAGUUUCAGUCAAGAAACCAGCAAGUUGCUGAUUGGAGCCAAUUUUUUUACUCUAAAAGCCUAUCUUUUGAUACCACUGUCUAAGAACAAUCAAAUCAUCAUUUCACCAUCUUCGGCCGCCCAAGGAUAUUUCAAACUACUUUUGCUGAUAUCAGGAGAAGGACCAUGACCAGACAAGAAAAAAUAUGCGACUGCCUGGGGCUGGGGCUGGUGCACCUUGGGCUGGGGCUGGUGCUGGAUCAGCAACGCUUGGGGAUGUGCACAGUAGUUUUAGUUGAUGUUGCCACCAUGUUUUGGUGCCUGUGUAUUUGUUUCCGAUUAUAUGUACACUUGAUGGAUCGUGCAGAUGUGUAUGUGCUGUUGUGAGUUUCAUUGAGUGAUUUCUGGAUUUGAUCAUUUAAUUUUGAGAAUUAUUGAUUGUUUGCUGUUGAAAUGUGUAAAAUUGAAAUCUGUGAUUGAAAAA